AGUGGUGUAGGAAGUGCCUGGCGCUGCGGCAGAGCUUCCACUCGGCGCGGUAGGACUCGCAAGGGCGCGGCGGCUGCGGCGAGAGGCGGCGCCUGAGCGGGGCCCGGCGGCCGCGCCCCACGCCCCGAGCCUGUCCCGUUCCCUCCCUCCGGAAAACCCCGGUGGUUCCCGGCUCCGACCGAGCACGCUCACCUGCCAGCCGCUCCCGUCUGCCAUGUCUGGGCGACCGGCGCGCUAAGCCCGCCCCUCAGCCCGCCAGCCAAUGAAGAAUGAAGAAAACGGCACCUCGUGAUCGACUGACAGAAGAACUAAUGAGCACCGACACAUUCAAUUACGUCUUCGCCCCCUUCUUCGAGAGGCGCCGACAAACAGGACGAGCAACCAAUAGCAACCGAGGGCGGCUGCGGCGCGCGCGGGGGGCCGGGGUCGCAGGGUAAGUCCGAGGCGAGGCCUGGCGCGGAGCCUACGCGGCUACCGCGACGACAGCGCCAUUCACCCCGGGCCAGGCGGGCAUCCUGGGCCGUGCAGCUACCUUACGUCAGGCGCCUCUAAAAUCACACGGCUCUGGCCAGUUCUUUUCAGCAGCUUUAUGAGAUUUUCUCAAAUCUCAACAAUCCAGUUUAUUUUCAGAAGUACAUACUGAGCAUCAAGGUGGUGCAGCGAACCUCCCAGAUCUGCAGCUCCGGCGGUCUUGCUUGAGCGUCCACUCAGAAUGGAGGUGAACUCGCAAAGUAACUGAGAUUGGUUGGGCAUGACAUGUGGUGGAUCUAGGGUUGAAUGACCUCCCCAGGGAACGCAGGCUUGAAGUGGAGGCUGAGAAUGCAAUCCGAGUACAGCCAUAGGCCGGUCAAAGGGUCUUGCUGUGUCACCCAGGCUUAGUGCAGUGGCGUGGCUUGUUCAUGGCUCACUGCAACCUCAAACUCCUGGACUCCAAACAGCUGGGACCACAAGCAUGCACCGCCUCACCAGGCUAAUUUUUAAUUUUUUUUUUGGUAAAGUUGGGGUCUUGCUAAGUUACCCAGGCUAGUUUGGCCUCAAGCGACCCUCUCAACUUUGGCCUCCCAAAGUGCUAGGAUUAUAGGCUGAGCGCCAAUGCCUGGCUGGAACGUUUAUAAAAAGGAGCAAUGCACAAGAGGCAACAAAGGCAAGUAAAGAGGAGGCUGGUGGGCUUGCAGAAACGCCCUGCAGUACCUAUGCUGCGGUUCUCCCACUUCACUGAUAACAAAUCCUCAGUGUCCACUGAUACAAAUCCUGGGACUGCUGGGCCAGUCCCAGGAAUGACACUGGGACAGACUCCCUGGAGGUGGAUCAGAAAGCUGCAGUUUUACCAGGGGUCCUGCUGUUGAGGCAGCUGACUGAAGGACCAAGCCCAAAUAAAACACUGAGAGGAAGGCUGCAGGCCAGGGUGCAGGAGUAAUGACCAGGAUCAGUGCUCCAACUGGCCCCACUGUGUCAUUAAAAGGCUCUGCAAUGGAAUCCAUCCUGGUCCAGGCAGGGGAGUGUGCCUCCAGCAAAGGACCAGGCAUUUCACUGCAUACACAGCAGGUGUUGCUUAGUGAAGACAAAAACCCAGAGCCAGAGGUACUGUAACAUUCUUCAUUAUGCAUAAAGUGACAAUCUGUUAGCUGAUGUGAUCCUGCAAAUGAAAGCUGUCUACCCACCAAGGAGGGUUUCUCCCUCUGCUAGUAAAACUGAGACUUUGUCAGUGGAGGGUCAGGUAAGUCCCCACAGUGCUCACGCCUUCCAAAACCAUGCCCAUUUCCAGUGAUGAUGGUUUGUGCCACAGGCCAAGUACUGAACAUGAUGACACUCAUAGACGCUCUUCACUGAAGACAUGUGGAUAGACCCUGGGGCCACCAUUCUCUCCUCUCUGGAGUGUUGGAGGGGCCCUGACCAGGGCAGGACCCCCAUGCCUGGAAGCAGGGUUAGUCCUGGCUCAUGGGGGACCCUGCUGGGCUUAGCCAUUGCCACCUAGGGAUCAGGCAGCCUUGUUUCUUCCUACUUUCUCCAGGAGAAGCCCCAGAGGGACACUUUUCUAAUGGUGAGAUGGAACACGGAGCACCUGCCAACAGGCCUUCCUUCAGUUAUGGUCAGAGGCCCAACCACCAGUCUGUGUUAGUACCUAAUCAAACAUUUAGAUUUAGGCUUUAGUUAUUGCCUGUUUUUACUUGAAAUUCUUGGCUUAGAAUUAUUCCCAAUGGGGCCAGGCACAGUGGCUCAUGGGAACAAAUUUAAAAUAAUCAGAUUAGCAUGUCAAAAGAUCUCACGUUAUAGAAAGUGAAGAUCUAAGACCAAAUAAAUACUGAUAAAAAAUACAGGCCAGCAGAAGCUUGGAUGAUUUAAUAAAUUAAAAUUGGGAGUGGGGGAGUAGGGAAGAAGGAAAGAGAGGAACAUCUCUUUAGCAUUUGUUCAUUCUAAUGUUCACAUGUUUGCUUCUCCAUGGAGUUGUUUCACUAUGAACAGGUUCACUAAGGAGCCAGUUAUGUCCAUAUGGAAUGAGAAUAAAAGUGCAAACUCAUUCAGAUCAGGUUCUUCUGAGUGGUGUUUUUGAAAAAAAUAUGUAAAAUAAAAAUAGAAACAUUCUUUGUCAAAUACUUAAAUUGCAGCCACGGUAGUGGGACAGCCACUAUUUAUAGAACACAUGUCUAUUUAAACCCUUUUUUUAGGUCAAAGACUGACACCUAUGCAAUUGACCUAGGAAAAGAAAGGAUAAAUGAAGAAAAAGAAAGAACACUUCAUGUUAGACAAUUUAGUCACCUUCAUACGUUUUGACAGAAUUAGGGAUGCAGAAUUGCUCCUGCUGAGGCAAUGGGAGCCCCCCUCAAGCUGAAAGCGUGAAGAGGUGAGGAGGCAGCUACCUACAGGCCCUCAGGGACAGCUCUUUGUCUUUCCCCAAAUCAAGCAUACAACUACAAAGUCCUGCUGCUCCACUUCCAAGUCAAACUUGAUAAUUCUUAGGUAACUCUAAAUAAAUCUUAAGUAACAGAGUAUUCUCUGAUGAGGCUCGUCCCUGUCAGUGCCAGUAACUAAAGCCAAGAUGUUGCAAAUGAUUCUUUUAUUAUUUUCCAAUCAGCCAACAGUCCUCACUUAGGGCUUUCUUCCCUUUUUACGCAACGACUGUCCUUCUCCAGAGAAAGCGACGAAUCUGCCUCCAGCUUCAUCCUAGGUGUGAAGAGAAGAUACUAUUUUCAGAAACUCCCUGGAGGUUUACAAUAAAUGCCUUACUCUAUGGACUCACGUACCAUCCACAUUACUCAUAAGAAAUAUCUCAGGCUGGACACGAUAGCUGACACCUGUAAUCCCAGCACUUUGGGAGGCCUAGGUGGGAGGAUCACUUGAGCCCAGGAGUUCAAGACCAGGCUGGGCAACAUAGUGAGAUCCCAUCUCUACCAAAAAUAGCUCGGUGUGGUAUGUGCCUAUGGUCCCAGCUACUUGGGAGGCUGAGACGGGAGGAUGGUUUGAGCCAGGGCCAUAGUGAGCUAUGAUUGUGCCACUGCUCCAGCCUGGAUGGCAGAGCAAUAGAGCAAGACCCUGCCUCAAAAAAAAAAAAAAAAAAAAAAAAAAAAAAUCUGUAAGUUCAGCACCCAAAAACAACAUUUCAGGUCACUUUUCUGUACAUGCUUAAAGAAUUGUUUUCCCACUUAAUUCUGAAGUCUCAUGCCAAUAAACUUAGUAUACUCCCAAGGCUACAGAACUGAAUUCUGUAAAAAAGAAUUCCAUCAUGUAGGAAGGCCAGUUUUCUACCAGUGGACACUGCUGUGGUAAGCAGCUUAAUGUAUUUGCACACAGCUCUGAUAUUUUUUUAGAGCUCAAAUUCCUGGGUCAAAGUGUGUACAUACUUUUAAUGCUUUUAACAUAUAGAGACCAACCAGCCCUCAGAAACAUUCCACUAAGCUAUCCUUCCAUCAGCAGAAAGAGGGAUUGUUUUUUCCCAAGCCUUUGAAAACUGCACAUAUUUUUUUUUUCACAUGCUUUUAUUGCUAGUCAGUCUGAGGCAUUAUCUCAGCUUUUCCCUAGGAAGAAGAGGAUUCUGGAAUGUUCAACACACAUCCCUGCACCUGGCUCCCCACUAACUGUAGCAUGUCAUACCUGCAAUAGAGCACCGUUUAGUAUUUAUGUGGUCACAUUCAUGUAAAUCUGAGUCACAGCUGCAUUUAGUCUUCCUUUGCCACACAGCCUUCCAUUUAUCCUGGUGUCAAUAGCUGUGUUUGGCUUCUUUCUCUAUAUAUUCAGUCACAGCCUGCAUUGCAUGGAGUUCAUCUGUUUUGACAAACCUGUGUCUCCUGGGCCUUCGCCUUGCCGUACCUGGACUGGCCUUUCUCUAGGUGCUGUACAUGUUAGUGGGGGCUCCUUAUUUCCUGGAUUCUAUGACUUUCUUAUUUCUACCUUAUUCCUUCAUUUUAGUGAGGGACACCUUCUAGGAGCUUCCUGAGAAAAGAUGCAUGACGAUUAUCUUCUUGUGAGUUCCUUUUUUCUACUCUCAUAUUUCAUUGAUAGGCUGGUUGGUAUGUUAGUCUGCUAGGGCUGCCAUAUAAAAUGCCAAAGAUAGGGUGGCUCAAACAACAGAAAUUUAUUCUUCAUAGUUUUGGAGGCUAGAAGUGCAGGAUCAAGGUGUCAGCAGGUUUGGUUUCCUCUGACACCCUUUUCCUUGGCUUGCAGAUGGCUGCCUUCUUGCUGUGUCCUCACAUGGCCCUAUGUCCAAAUUUCCUCUUCUUAAAAGGACACCAGAUUGAAUUAGGGCCAACUCUAAUGGUCUUAUUUUAACUUAAUUGCUUCUUUAAAUGGCCCUAUCUGAGUUACUGGGGGUUAGGGCUUCAACAUAGAAACAACGGAGGGACACAAUCCAGCUUAUAAGAGUUGGUACAGAAUUUUAGAUUGGAAAAAAUUUCCCCUCAGAAUUUUCAGUAUAUUGCUCCACUAUCUUCUAGUUUCCUCUGUGUCCUGCUAAGAUGAUGUCCCUUUUUUUGGGAGACAGGGUCUUACUGUUACCCAGGCUGGGGUGCAGUGGUGUGAUGUCAGCUCACAGCAGCCUCCACCUCCCAGGCUCAAGUGAUGCUCCCAACUCAGCAUCAAAGUAGCUGGGACUACAGGUGCGUGCCGCCAUGCUUGGCUAAUUUUUAAAAUUUUCUGUAGAGACAGGGUCUCCCUAUAUUGCCCAGGCUGGUCUCAAACUCCUGGACUCAGAUGAUCUUCCCCCAUCAGCCUCCCAAAGUGUUGGGAUUACAGGUGUGAGCCAUGGCGCUUGGCUGAUGAUGUCCUUGAUGCAUGAUGAUACCUCUGUGCUCUCUCCAGAAGCUUUAGGAUCUUUCUUUGCCUCAAAGUGGGGCUAUUUUCAUUCAUUUUGCUGGAACUCAGUGAGCCCUUCAAAUCUGCAAACUUGUGCCCAUCUUUGGGGAAACUACUUCCCUGAUGAUUUCUGCUCCUUUGGUUUCUGUGGCUGUUCUUCCCACAAAUCCUCUAUUAUUUAGAUGUUAGAAUGGGAAGCUUUCUGACUGUGGCCUUCACUUCAGAGGUAGUAGUCUAGAGACCUACUGGAGUCGAGCCUCCAGCCUUCUGGGGUCGGGGAGGGAGGGUAAUGCAGCUCUAACUGCUUAGUAACAGAAUUCUGUCUUUAGUCCCUCAUUUCUAGAGGUGCCUUUUGAGAAUUCUACAAUCUACACAUAACUGCUUCUAGGCUUUCUAUGGUCUACUAAGGUACCUGGGGCUUCCAAAGCCUUGUAGUUGCCUCCUCUUCCACUGUCUUUCUUACCUCAUGACCUUUAGCCACAGCCUUAGUGGGGCUGCAGGAUGGAGUAGAGCUAAAUAUGUCUUCAAUCCCAUCUUUAAACAUAUACUUCUUAAAUACAUAUUUAUGGUCAAACAGGCCUGCUGUGCCCACUGGCCUCCCCUGCCUUCUGUAAAUUUGCAACAGUCAGGUCACAGUCAGCCUGGGGGACAUCCCAUGCUGAGGUCUUAGGUCUGAGUCAGGCACUGGCUUUUAGUGAGAAAGGCAGCCUGUAGCUGGUGAAGCCUGGAUGGUGCCUGAAGGAGGAGCUGGAGGGUGAGGUCUGACUGGCCACUAUGUUUGCUCCUCUGAGCCUGAAAGGUCCCAAUGCCCAAUGCUGUUUCAACUUGAACAUUGAGCCCAGAAGUGGUUGUGAGUAGGACCAGGUGUGCAAACUUCACAGUGGUCUCUGUCCC